CCUACGGGAGGCAGCAGUGGGGGAUAUUGGACAAUGGGGGAAACCCUGAUCCAGCGACGCCGCGUGAGUGAAGAAGUAUUUCGGUAUGUAAAGCUCUAUCAGCAGGGAAGAAAGAAAUGACGGUACCUGAGUAAGAAGCCCCGGCUAACUACGUGCCAGCAGCCGCGGUAAUACGUAGGGGGCAAGCGUUAUCCGGAAUUACUGGGUGUAAAGGGAGCGUAGACGGUAAUGCAAGUCUGGAGUGAAAGGCGGGGGCCCAACCCCCGGACUGCUCUGGAAACUGUGUAACUGGAGUGCAGGGGAGGCAAGUGGAACUACAGGUGUAGCGGUGAAAUGCGUAAAUAUAUGGAAGAACACCAGUGGCGAAGGCGGCUUGCUGGGUCGAUACUGACAUUGAGGCACGAAAGCGUGGGGAGCAAACAGGAUUAGAUACCCCAGUAGUC
rnacentral:rRNA from 1 species